GACGAAGGAUGCAAGCGUUAUCCGGAUUCAUUGGGUUUAAAGGGCGCGUAGGCGGCCUUAUAAGUCAGUGGUGAAAUCUUUGGGCUUAACCCAAAAAUUGCCAUUGAUACUGUAGGGCUUGAGUACAGUUGCUGUGGGCGGAAUAUGACAUGUAGUGGUGAAAUACAUAGAGAUGUCAUAGAACACCGAUUGCGAAGGCAGCUCACAAAACUGUAACUGACGCUGAGGCUCGAAAGUGCGGGGAUCAAACAGG
rnacentral:rRNA from 1 species